CAGCCGCCACGGGAAUACGAAGGGUGCAAGCGUUACUCGGAAUUACUGGGCGUAAAGCGUGCGUAGGUGGUGGUUUAAGUCCGUUGUGAAAGCCCUGGGCUCAACCUGGGAAUUGCAGUGGCUACUGGGUCACCAGAGUGUGGUAGAGGAUAGUGGAAUUUCCGGUGUAGCAGUGAAAUGCGUAGAGAUCGGAAGGAACAUCUGUGGCGAAGGCGACUAUCUGGGCCAACACUGACACUGAGGCACGAAAGCGUGGGGAGCAAACAGGAUUAGAUACCCGUGUAGUCCCUGUCUCUUAUAC
rnacentral:rRNA from 1 species